CGAAAGCCUGACGGAGCAAUACCGCGUGAGGGAGGAAGGCUUUUGGGUUGUAAACCUCUUUUGUCAGGGAAGAAAAUUUGACGGUACCUGAAGAAAAAGCAUCGGCUAACUCCGUGCCAGCAGCCGCGGUAAUACGGAGGAUGCAAGCGUUAUCCGGAAUAAUUGGGCGUAAAGGGUCCGCAGGUGGCCAUUCAAGUCUGCUGUCAAAGACCGUGGCUCAACCACGGAAAGGCAGUGGAAACUGUUUAGCUAGAGUACGGUAGGGGUAGAGGGAAUUCCCAGUGUAGCGGUGAAAUGCGUAGAUAUUGGGAAGAACACCGGUGGCGAAAGCGCUCUACUGGGCCGAAACUGACACUGAGGGACGAAAGCUAGGGUAGCGAAAGGGAUUAGAUACCCCUGUAGUCUUAGCUGUAAACGAUGGAUACUAGGUGUAGCUUGUAUCGACCCGAGCUGUGCCGAAGCUAACGCGUUAAGUAUCCCGCCUGGGGAGUACGCACGCAAGCGUGAAACUCAAAGGAAUUGACGGGGGCCCGCACAAGCGGUGGAGUAUGUGGUUUAAUUCGAUGCAACGCGAAGAACCUUACCAGGGCUUGACAUGUGGCGAAUCUCUGUGAAAGCAGGGAGUGCCUUAGGGAGCGCCAACACAGGUGGUGCAUGGCUGUCGUCAGCUCGUGUCGUGAGAUGUUGGGUUAAGUCCCGCAACGAGCGCAACCCUCGUUUUUAGUUGCCAUUUUAAUGGCUCUCUAGAGAGACUGCCGGGGACAACUCGGAGGAAGGUGGGGAUGACGUCAAGUCAGCAUGCCCCUUACGCCCUGGGCUACACACGUACUACAAUGGUUGGGACAAAGGGCAGCAAACCCGCGAGGGCAAGCGAAUCUCAUCAAACCCAGCCUCAGUUCAGAUUGCAGGCUGCAACUCGCCUGCAUGAAGGAGGAAUCGCUAGUAAUCGCAGGUCAGCAUACUGCGGUGAAUUCGUUCCCGGGCCUUGUACACACCGCCCGUCACACCAUGGAAGCUGGCUACGCCCGAAGUCGUUACCCUAACCCUUAGGGGAGGGGGAUGCCGAAGGUAGAGCUAGUGACUGGGGUGAAGUCGUAACAAGGUAGCCGUACCGGAAGGUGUGGCUGGAUCACCUCCUUUA
rnacentral:rRNA from 1 species